rnacentral:rRNA from 1 species
UACGGGGGGGGCAAGCGUUGUUCGGAUUUACUGGGCGUAAAGGGCGCGUAGGCGGCCAGCACAGGUCAGUUGUGAAAUCUCCGAGCUUAACUCGGAAAGGUCAACUGAUACUGUGCGGCUAGAGUGCGGAAGGGGCAACUGGAAUUCUUGGUGUAGCGGUGAAAUGCGUAGAUAUCAAGAGGAACACCUGCGGCGAAGGCGGGUUGCUGGGCCGACACUGACGCUGAGGCGCGAAAGCCAGGGGAGCGAACGGG